CCUACGGUGGGCAGCAGUGGGGAAUAUUGCACAAUGGGGGAAACCCUGAUGCAGCGACGCCGCGUGAGUGAAGAAGUAUUUCGGUAUGUAAAGCUCUAUCAGCAGGAACGAGACAAGACGGUACCUGACUAAGAAGCCCCGGCUAACUACGUGCCAGCAGCCGCGGUAAUACGUAGGGGGCAAGCGUUAUCCGGAAUCACUGGGUGUAAAGGGAGCGUAGACGGCUGUGCAAGCCUGAAGUGAAAGGCGGGGGCCCAACCCCUGGACUGCUUUGGGAACUGUACGGCUGGAGUGCAGGAGAGGUAAGUGGAAGUCCUAGUGUAGCGGUGAAAUGCGUAGAUAUUAGGAGGAACACCAGUGGCGAAGGCGGCUUACUGGACUGUAACUGACGUUGAGGCUCGAAAGCGUGGGGAGCAAACAGGAUUAGAUACCCUAGUAGUC
rnacentral:rRNA from 1 species